rnacentral:misc_RNA from 1 species
GAAAUGCGAUAAGUAAUGUGAAUUGCAGAAUUCAGUGAAUCAUCGAAUCUUUGAACGCACCUUGCGCUCCUUGGUAUUCCUUGGAGCAUGCCUGUUUGAGUAUCAUGAAAUCUUCAAAGUAAAUCUUUUGUUAACUCAAUUGGUUUCUACUUUGGUAUUGGAGGUCUUUGCAGCUUCACACCUGCUCCUCUUUGUUCAUUAGCUGGAUCUCAGUGUUAUGCUUGGUUCCACUCGGCGUGAUAAGUUAUCUAUCGCUGAGGACACUGUAAAAGGUGGCCAAGGUAAAUUCAGAUGAACCGCUUCUAAUAGUCCAUUGACUUGGACAAUACUUUUAUGAUCUGAUCUCAAAUCAGGUAGGACUACCCGCUGAACUUAAGCA